AUACCUUAGCUCUUCUGAUGCCCUACUUGGAUAAGAACAAAGUGGUUUUGGUUUGAAUUCAAAAUAGUUUGAAUUCGAAUUAAUUUAAACCACUUAUCCUUAUCCAAUCUCUUCUCCACGCCCAUCUUAAAUUCCUCUCAUUUUUGUGCGACAAAGAAGUUGGUUUUUAUCAUGGAAAAAUCCUUCUAAGAAAGAGGGGCAUGAAAUAGAGAGGGGG
rnacentral:lncRNA from 1 species